rnacentral:rRNA from 1 species
AAAUUGAAGAGUUUGAUCAUGGCUCAGAUUGAACGCUGGCGGCAGGCCUAACACAUGCAAGUCGAACGGUAACAGGAAGCAGCUUGCUGCUUUGCUGACGAGUGGCGGACGGGUGAGUAAUGUCUGGGAAACUGCCUGAUGGAGGGGGAUAACUACUGGAAACGGUAGCUAAUACCGCAUAACGUCGCAAGACCAAAGAGGGGGACCUUCGGGCCUCUUGCCAUCGGAUGUGCCCAGAUGGGAUUAGCUAGUAGGUGGGGUAAAGGCUCACCUAGGCGACGAUCCCUAGCUGGUCUGAGAGGAUGACCAGCCACACUGGAACUGAGACACGG